rnacentral:lncRNA from 1 species
ACUCACUGAUGCUUUGACAGUGUUUUGAUAUACUCAUCCAAUAGAUGAAACACCAUGUAUAACACCGUGAAGAAAAUAAUGGAUCAAUAAAACUGGAUGUUCCUUUCCAAAUAAGAACAAUUGAGCUCAUACAUUGCUAUGGAGGACAAAGAGCCAAUGUGAAGGCAAACGACAUAACAGUGUGGGUAGAUGCUGCCCCCUAACUCAGUAACAACGAUGAAUGAUAAUUCUCGGAGUUAUUUUUAAUAUAGUUUUUAUAAUAUUUUAAGAGCUAAUUUUAGCAUUUAAAUUAGUUUUUAUUGUAUUUUAUAAUUUUUUAAAUUAAUUAUAUUUUAUUUAAAUUUUGUUUGUUUUUCAUAUUUUUAGAGUUAAUUUGGGUU